CGAAGAAACCAAAAGUUAUGACCAAUGUAUUCGAUUCAUCAUCUAAUGAAAACGACGAUAAUGCUUUCGAGCAAGAUACUCAGGCAAUCUCUACAGCUCCAAGUGCUAAGGGACUUGCAUCGACAAAAUAUUCAGAAGGUAUAAAGAAACCAAAACUUAUGACAACUGCAAUGAACUUAUUAGAAAGGAAAUCUUCUAUAUCGGAAAACUUAAAACAAAAAAUGUUGGAACUAAAACA